rnacentral:rRNA from 1 species
AAAGGUAAAUAAGGGCACUAAUAGUGGAUGCCUUGACAAUCAAUACCGAUGAAGGACGUAGAACUCUGCGAUAAGUCUUGGGGAGCUGAGAGCAAGCUUUGAUCCAGGAAUCUCCGAAUGGGGCAACCUAAUACGAAUCAUGUCGUAUUGCAAUUACUUGAACACAUAGAGUAAUUAGACGGGAACCAGCCGAACUGAAUCAUCUUAGUAGGUUGAGGAAAAGAGAAUAAACAAUGAUUCCGAAAGUAGUGGCGAGCGAAAUUGGAACAGCCCAAACCUUAACAUAACCAUACGGUUUAACGGCCAGAGUUAUGAAAGGGGUUGAGAAAUUAGAUAAUUUUUAUGUAUAGCAGUUGAAUAAAAUCGAAGCCUACUCACUUUUAAGGACUAUCAGCUUGGGCAAACGCCCUUGAGUGCGUCCGAAAAAGUGAGUAGGCGACGAUUCGACAGUUAUACAUAAAAACCAACAUCGUUAAAUGAGUGGAUAAUGAUAAAAUCCUUUAGAUCAUAGCAGAAGUGUUUGAAUGGCACACCAAAGAAGGUGAGAGUCCUGUACGCGAAAUGGUCUUAGGCAUUAUAUAUCUUUUUUCAAGUAGGACGGGGCACGAGAAACCCUGUUUGAAUCCGGCAGGACCACCUGCCAAGGCUAAAUAUAUUGAUUGAUCGAUAGCGAACUAGUACAGUGAUGGAAAGGUGAAAAGAACCCCGGGAGGGGAGUGAAAUAGAUCCUGAAAUUUAGUGCCUACAAGGAGUCGGAGCCGGCUUGUCCGGUGACGGCGUGCUUUUUGUAGAACGAUCCAGCGAGUUAAUUUUUACAGCGAGGUUAAGUCAAUUGACGGAGCCAUAGUGAAAGCGAGCCUGAAUAGGGCGAUUAAGUUGUAAGGAUUAGACCCGAAACCGGGUGACCUAACCAUGAGCAGGUUGAAGCCACUGUAACAGGUGGUGGAGGACCGAACCAGGAUACGCAGCAAAGUGUUUGGAUGACUUGUGGUUAGCGGUGAAAUGCCAAUCGAACUCGGAGAUAGCUGGUUCUCCUCGAAAUAGCUUUAGGGCUAGCGUCGUGUUAGUAGCACAUGGGGGUAGAGCUCUGUAAAGGACUGGGGCGGGCAACUGUACCCACCCUUAACAAACUACGAAUACCAUGUGUGUAAUCACGGCAGUUAGAACAUCGGUGCUAAGAUCGGUGCUCAAAAGGGAAACAGCCCAGACCAUCAUCUAAGGUCCCUAAAUUAACGUUCAGUGGGAAACAAGGUGAGAUUUCUUAAACAGCUAGGAUGUUGGCUUAGAAGCAGCCAUUCAUUUAAAGAGUGCGUAACAGCUCACUAGUCAAGAGAUUUUGCGUGGAAAAUGUAACGGGGCUAAAGUGUUAAACCGAAGACAUGGACUUCAUAUUUUAUGGAGUGGUAGAGGAGCGUUGAUAUCGCAGCGAAGUCAGAUUGUAAAGUCUGGUGGAGCGUUAUCAAGUGAGAAUGCUGGAAUCAGUAACCUUAAGACAGGUGAGAAUCCUGUCGGUCGUAAGAGCAAGGUUUCCAGGGCCACAGUAAUUGUCCCUGGGUUAGUCGGUCCUAAGCCGAGGCGUAUCAGCGUAGGCGAUGGACAACAGGUUAAUAUUCCUGUACAGGUAGUAGUUGUGAACAGUUCACGGUGAAUGACCGGAGCGGAUUAAUGGUUUAUCCGUCCAAGUCUCUAGGGAACUAGAGAUGAGUGAAAGGUAAUCUUCGGAUUAUUAAUUCCGGGUGAAGCACUGGCUAGAAAAGCUGGUUCACUUAUGCUGCUGCCUACCGUACCGCAAACCAACACCGGUGCUCGGGUCGAGUAGACCAAGACCUACGUGAGAACCUUCGCUAAGGAACUCGGCAAAAAAGCGUCCGUAACUUCGGAAUAAGGACUGCCCUCUCAUUAAGAUGAGGAUUUGCUAGAAACUCAGCAGAAGAUUCAGAGUUAUGUUACUUAUUUACUAAUAAUUUAUUUUACUUCGAGACCAUAAGCUCGGCCGAACGGCCUUGAGUGUGUCGAGAAGAAAAUAAAUUUUAGUUAUUAAAUUAAAUAUUUACCUUAAUACUGAAUUUUUUCGUUGAGACAGAACACAAAUCAGGAUUUGUUUUAGCAAAUUCGUGUCUUUUCUAGUAGUCUAAUCGUCAUUUUGAUGAGAGGGCCGCAGCUAAAGAGCCCACGGAACUGUUUACCAAAAACAUAGGUCUCUGCUAACGCGAAAGCGGAUGUAUAGGGGCUGACUCCUGCCCGGUGUCGGAAGGUUAAGGGGAGAGCUUUACGGUUCGAACUGAAGCCCCGAUGAACGGCGGCGAUAACUAUGAUCGUCCUAAGGUAGCGA